GACGAACCACACAACCGUUAUUCGGAAUUACUGGGCUUAAAGGGUGCGUAGGCGGCGCGGAAAGUUGGGUGUGAAAUCCCUCGGCUCAACCGAGGAACUGCGCCCAAAACUACCGUGCUCGAGGGAGAUAGAGGUGAGCGGAACUUAGGGUGGAGCGGUGAAAUGCGUUGAUAUCCUAGGGAACACCCGUGGCGAAAGCGGCUCACUGGGUCUCUUCUGACGCUGAGGCACGAAAGCUAGGGUAGCGAACGGG
rnacentral:rRNA from 1 species